CGGACCCUCCCGCUGGAAGGCCGCGCGGCCCGGUCUGGUCCGCCCGCGGGGCAGGCGCCGGACGCCACUUGGAGAGCACCAGACGCACACCCGGCUGCCGCUUCUCCGGGAGCUUCCUGUUACAGACCCGGUCCUGACACCUUCUCUGCUCUGGCCACUGGAAGAACCACAUUCAGCUUUCCCACCUUGAGAGUGAAAGCCAGAAACUACUCAGCACAAACCCCUCGGUUAACCCUCACAUCCGGUGAGACACACACGAACAAAGAGCAGUCUCUUUUGAAGCCCGGGCUGCCUGGAAGAAACAAACAACAACAAAAAUGAAUAGCUUUCCCAACAAGAAGCCAGAGGCACCGUAAGAAUGUCCUGAAGGAAAGGGACGGAGCAGCAAGGAACUGAAAGCAGAUUGGAAAGCUGCCGGGACUGCUUGUUCUCUUCAGAAGGACAUCAUAUGGGCACCAGGUCUGGGCGCUCUGAGACAAGAGGAUGUCCUUCUCCCUGGGGACCACCGUGGCAGGUAAAGGAGCCCACGGGGCGGAGACGGCAGGCUGAGGCUGAAUGCUGAGGACACUGGGAGCAGUCACCUUAGUAAACGGCAAGCUUGUCUCUGCUGCUGUCACACUUGCCUCUGCUGUUGAAGACGACAUCACUCUAGCCUCUCCCCACAGGGGUAUGGAGGCCCCCCAUCCUUGGGCUGAGCUGGCUAGUGCUCCUGGAAGUGACUAAAAGGCAGAGAGGUUGCUACUCCUGUCCCUCCCAGGACGGAGGCUGCCGUCCUCUGGAACAGGUGCUUCAAACCACCAGGCACGCUGGGCUUUGUCCCCCACUGCUUCUCCCCGGGCAGACAUCUGGUGAGGACACUGCCUGGAAAGAAGGUAGAGGCUUCAGUCUCUGGGGGAGACGAAGCCUCAGAGAGGCUCACCUGAGGAAGAGGAUGGGCGUGCUCCCGGGGGAGGCAGCACAACACCUCCCUGAUGGUGAUGAGGAGGUGACCCUCUGCUUUGCUGUAACCACCCACAGUAUAAAGACAGAAAAGGUAACGUGGGAGGGCCAAGGAGGGACCAGCUGCCCUACACACA